GACGUAGGGCGCGAGCGUUGUCCGGAUUUAUUGGGCGUAAAGAGCUCGUAGGCGGCUUGUCGCGUCGUCCGUGAAAACCUGCGGCUCAACUGCAGGCUGGCGGUCGAUACGGGCAGGCUGGAGUUCGGUAGGGGAGACUGGAAUUCCUGGUGUAGCGGUGAAAUGCGCAGAUAUCAGGAGGAACACCGGUGGCGAAGGCGGCAUCCUGGACCGGCAUUGACGCUGAGGCGCGAAAGCCAGGGGAGCAAACGGG
rnacentral:rRNA from 1 species